rnacentral:rRNA from 1 species
GCAUGUGGAUUAAUUCGAUGCAACGCGAAGAACCUUACCAAGGCUUGACAUGUUCCAGAUCGCCUCAGAGAUGGGGUUUCCCUUCGGGGCUGGUUCACAGGUGGUGCAUGGUUGUCGUCAGCUCGUGUCGUGAGAUGUUGGGUUAAGUCCCGCAACGAGCGCAACCCUCGUUCCAUGUUGCCAGCGGGUUAUGCCGGGGACUCAUGGGAGACUGCCGGGGUCAACUCGGAGGAAGGUGGGGAUGACGUCAAAUCAUCAUGCCCCUUAUGUCUUGGGCUUCACGCAUGCUACAAUGGCCGGUACAAUGGGUUGCGAUACUGUGAGGUGGAGCUAAUCCCUAAAAGCCGGUCUCAGUUCGGAUUGGGGUCUGCAACUCGACCCCAUGAA